GUGAAAGUGAAGUCGCUCAGUCAUUUCCACUCUUUGCGACCCCGUGGACUGUAGCCCACCAGGCUCCUCCGUCCAUGGGAUUCUCCAGGCAAGAAUACUGGAGUGGGUUGACAUUUCCUUCUCCAGGGGAAUCUUCCCAACCCAGGGAUCGAACCUGGGGUCCCGCAUUGCAGGCAGAUGCUUUAACCUCUGAGCUACCUGGGAAGCCCAGAGGUGGGUCAGGAAGGGACUGUAAUCCGGAGUCCACUGACAGAGAAGAAGGCACCAUAGUGACCCAAAAUAACCGUCUUGUUGGGGCCAGGUUGGACAGAACCCGGACAUCAGGGAUCAGUUCCCUCAGUGGAAAGUUCCAAACAGCUUCGGGGAGAAAUCUUCCAGCAGAGGCAGGCUGGGAGACUGGCACUGACCUCACUGCUCCCCUGGGCAGGCCCAGAACCAGCCCUCAGCAACUCCGGAUCUUCCUGGAUGUCCUGACUUCUUGCCGGCCUCGCUGUGGUUCUGUGGGCGAGUCGAGCGGAACUCGCGGGGUCCAGGGGUGGUAGCCCCGGCCUCUUGGAGAGGUUCCCGUUUUCUGGUUCUCAGGGGCAUCCCCCAUAAAUCCUCUGCUCCAUAACCAAGCAAGAAGGGUCGGUUUUCAUCCAGGCUUGGUGGCAUUUUGGUUUCUGUGGUCUGCAGGGGGCAGUGCUGCCCCGUGGAGCGGCUUGCCCGUUUCCCCCCGCCCUUCCGCGUUGAAAAAAGUUCUGGAAGCCUUUUGCGGUCAGCAGUGACGGAUUUUUUUUCUAGGCUUGCCCAGUUGGCUGGUUCCAAGUGCUGAGAAAAAUGCUGAGACACACAUUAAGCAAACUGAAAAUUUAACAACAAAGAGAAAAUAUUAAGCAGGUCAAGGGAAAAGUAGCAAAUAACAUAAGUGGAAUCCUCAUAAUAUUAUCAGCUGAUUUCUCCGCAGAAACUCUGCAGGCCAGAAGAGAGUGGCAUGAUAUACUUAAAGUGGUGAAAGGGAAAAACCUACAACCAAAAAUACUCUACCAAGCAAGGCUCUACUUCAGAUUCAACAGAGAAAUCAAAACACAAUCAAAGGCUCAGGGAAUUCAACACUACCACACCAGCUUUACAACAAAGACUAAUGUAACAUCUCUAGGCAAGAACAAAAUGAAAGACCAAUGGAACACAAUAGGAAGCCCAGAGAUAGACCCAUGCACCUAUGGGGCACCUCAUCUAUACUCAAGGAAGUAAGAAUGUACAAUGGAGAAAAGACAGCAUCUUCAAUAAGUGGUGCUGUGAAAAUUAGACAGGAACAUGUAAAAGAAUAAAAUUAGAAUACUUCCUAACACCACAGGGUGGGGGGGGACCCUCAAAAUUCAAAAUCAAUUAAAGACCAAAUAUGAGGCCAGAUGCUAUAAAACUCUUAGAGGAAAACAUAGGGAGAACACUCUAACAAAAAAUUUAGCAAUAUUCUCUUUCCAUUCAAUUCAGUUGCUCAGUCGUGUCUGACUCUUUGCGACCCCCUGAAUCGCAUCACGCCAGGCCUCCCUGUCCAUCACCAACUCCUGGAGUACACUCAGAUUCAAGUUCAUCGAGUUAGUGAUGCCUUCCAGCCAUCUCAUCCUCUCUUGUCCCCUUCUCCUCCUGCCCCCAAUCCCUCCCAGCAUCAGAGUCUUCCAGUGAGUCAACUCUUCGCAUGAGGAGGCCAGAGUACUGGAGUUUCAGCUUUAGCAUCAUUCCUUCCAAAGAAAUCCCAGGGCUGAUCUUCAGAAUGAACUGGUUGGAUUUCCUUGCAGUCCAAGGGAUUCUCAAGAGUCUUCUCCAACACCACAGUUCAAAAGCAUCAAUUCUUCGGUGCUCUGCCUUCUUCACAGUCCAACUCUCACAUCCAUACAUGACUUCUGGAAAAACCAUAGCCUUGACUAGACUUAGUCGGCAAAGUAAUGUCUCUGCUUUUGAAUGUGCUAUCUAGGUUAGUCAUAACUUUUCUUCCAAGGAGUAAGCAUCUUUUAAUUUCAUAGCUACAGUCACCAUCUGCAGUGAUUUUGGAGCCCUCCGAAAUAAAGUCUGACACUGUUUCCACUGUUUCCUCAUCUAUUUCCCAUGAAGUGAUGGGACCGGAUGCCAUCAUUUCUGAAUGUUGAGCUUUAAGCCAACUUUGUCACUCUCCUCUUUCACUUUCAUCAAGAGGCUUUUAGUUCCUCUUCACUUUCUGCCAUAAGGGUGGUGUCAUCUGCAUAUCUGAGGUUAUUGAUAUUUCUCCCGGCAAUCUUGAUUCCAGCUUGUGUUUCUUCCACCCAGCGUUUCUCAUGAUGUACUCUGCAUAUAAGUUAAAUAAGCAGGGUGCCUUGACGUACUCAUUUUCCUAUUUGCUUCCUGACCUGCAUACAGAUUUCUCAAGAGGCAGGUCAGGUGAUCUGGUAUUCCCAUCUCUUUCAGAAUUUUCCAGAGUUUGUUGUGGUCCAUGCAGUCAAAGGCUUUGGCAUAGUCAAUAAAGCAGAAGGAGAUGUUUUUCUGGAACUCUUUUCCUUUUUCUAUGGUCGAAAGGAUGUUGGCAAGUUGAUCUCUGGUUCCUCUGCCUUUUCUAAAUCCAGCUUGAACAUCUGGUCUCAGGUAAACUCAGAUCCUGAAGACAAACAGCAUCACUCACAGCCAGUUCUACAAGUGUUAAGUUGUAACCACUGUGGUUGCUGACCUAAAGGGCAUUCUGAAGGAAUUUAGGGUGAAAAACAGUGUGAGGCACACUGUGCUUUGGACAAGUUGGCCUUUAUUUAUUUACAGAUACCUCAGAAAAAGGUUCAGUGACCCUAGAGUCUUGCAUCUUCCACACGCAGAAAAGCAUGAAAAUAAUGAACUUGUGACAUCUGAUCUCUGUGUUUCACAGUAAACUUUUGCCAAUAUGCACGCUUGACUGCAUGUGCUUCCUAGGCGAAAGUCAUACUGACUUCUCUGCUACCUCCUCCAAGCAGUUUCCUCAGAGCUAAC
ensembl:lncRNA